UUUCUGCCAUAAUCUGAACUGCUUCUCAGAGCGACAACUCGACAAGUAAGGUAAAACAACAUCAACAAAAAUUAUUGUAUAUUAAUUAGUUCAGUCGUUUUCUCCUUGUACAUUUAAAUGAGGAUUUCCUUCACUGCCUGGACACAAUUUUCAGACGACGUUAGUCGGUCCCCAACCCCCAGCAGCAGUAAGUUUGUUUGGAAAGGAGGAACUAACCGCCGCCCGGAGACCGACAGCAGCAGCUUAAAGACACUCUUCGGUUUCUGCUCUGCAUCCUGUCUGGAAGCCUUUGACUAACUUUUGAUAAAUGCAGACUUCUUGAGAGUUACAACAAUUACUUUGGAGGCAAAGUUUUUUGCACAGUUGGACAAACACUCCACCAAACUUCUAGAGGUCAUCAGGAGCAAUGGAGGGCGUGUGAAAGAGCAGACCACCAACAUCUUAGAAGUUCUGGAUGAAGGAUUGUUGACAUUACCAUCAGAGGAGAAGCCAUCCUAAAAUCUCUGAUGAUCUGCUUGGGUGAAUCUUUUGAGCACCUCAUUAAAGAACACCAGAACGGUCUGGACAGUGAUGCUCCGCAGAUUGAAACCAUGGCGAUCUUUUUCUGUGGGAGAGAGGAUCUUCUCCGUCCACCAACAGACAUCAAGAUAGUGAUGGAUGGAAAACAGGUUCUGAAUGAAGUGCCCUAUAUUUCAACCGCUUUUCUCAUGUUCUUGGAACUGACAUAUUCACUCAACCUAAAAUUUCCCAAAAAUCUGCAGUACACUUUUGAAUUCAUUCAAAAAGUCCUCAUGGAGCUUGGUGAGAAAAAGUGUCGCCAAAAGUUUUCAGACUGAACAGCCAGCUUAAGUUAGUGUCAAUUAAUGUUUUUUUUUUCCCUCACUUAAGUGUAUUGGUAUUGGGAAACAGUUUUGAUGUUUAUACAUCUUAAAGAUGUCAUAUUUGUAAAUUUGGAUGUGGAUAUGUUCAUGGAACAAUAAAUAUUGUUUACAUGAAGAAAUGUGUUCUGAGUCUGUGUACAUCAAUAUAUAAUUCUAAAGCUUAAUUCAGUUAAUUAGAUUGUGAACCUGACAUUUUUAUCUGAGACAACUUUAAAAAGUAAAUUGCUCAAAGAUUAAAAAAUGGAUUAUAUCAAGUCGUUUUUUUCAGGUUAGAUAAAGUAGAAAAUUUCCAUUGAGUAAAAAGCAGAACUUAUUUAUUUUGAUUUAUAGAAACUCAAAAUAAUUGCUUUUCUUCACCUCUCAGAAUCAGUUUAACCGAAAUAAAAAAAAAUAGGUUAGGCUAAAUUAUUCAUUUACAUUGAUACAAUGCAAAUAUAUUAGGUGUGACAGAUUACUUCAAUUUUUUUAAGUUAAACC